UACGUAGGGUGCAAGCGUUGUCCGGAAUUAUUGGGCGUAAAGAGCUCGUAGGCGGUCUGUUACGUCUGCUGUGAAAACCCGGGGCUUAACCCUGGGCUUGCAGUGGAUACGGGCAGACUAGAGGCAGGUAGGGGAGAAUGGAAUUCCCGGUGUAGCGGUGAAAUGCGCAGAUAUCGGGAGGAACACCGGUGGCGAAGGCGGAUCUCUGGGCCAUUACUGACGCUGAGGAGCGAAAGCGUGGGGAGCGAACAGG
rnacentral:rRNA from 1 species